CAGAGAUUUCAAGCUCACCUCCUAAUAGGAAUAGCUAUAAGCCCCCACCAUCAAAUCACCCUCCAAAAGCCCUGCCUAGGAGCACGAGGGAUCUUGGGGGACACUUCGAUAUAAACCAUAACGCCCACCCUUAUGGCAGACCUAACCCUAACAAUUCUCCCAGAGGCUUCUCUUCUGAAUGCUGUCACACUGGGUAGGCCUUCCCUAUAGGAGUUCUGGGGACUCACACUCAGGGCCCCAGCACCCUGCAUUGUACCCUGGUGACCUCGGCACCACCUUGGGCUGGGAGCACUCAGAGUAGGUCCCUGGACAGCACAGCAUUUUCCAUAACUCGUGUUCUCUCUGUUCCCCAGGGCCUGGCCCUGCUCACACGUGGUCUGUGGCUGAGAUAGCACUCAGCCACAGGUGGUUUCUGAGGCUGGUGACCUUUGAGGAUGUGGCUGCGGACUGCACACUGGAGGACCCUGUAGUGAGUGUGUUGCAGGGGGGAUCACAGCAACCCGGGGGUUUCUGGGUGGGGCUCCCACCUCUCACCCUGUUCUUGGUGUGUGUGCCUCACCAAGGUCUCUCCUCCCUGUGAAACCCCGGAGGACUUUCUGAUUCCUGCCUUGGGCCCAGCUGACUGUGGGCUGAAGUGUGAACCGUAAUCAACCUCCUCCUUUAAGCUGCAGAUGUGGAGUGUUUGUCUCAGUGAGGAGAAAGUGCCUAGGACAAUGCGAUUUGUACCUUUACAAGAGGAGGGUGUAAUUCAGUGCCCUGCAUCUCCUCACUACGCCCCCAGAUGAAGGGGAAAGGAGAGGGAGUCAGAGAGAGCGCUUCCUUAAUGCAACAUGCGAGGCCACCGCCAGGGGUGUCUGCGAGCCCAGGGGAGGGUUCUUGCCUGUGCCCAGCCAUGCUCACACGCUGAGCACGGAUUUGCAGCAUCCAGAGCCAUGAGAAAGCUCUUUACGGCCUCAUCUGUGGGGUUUUGUUCUGGCAGCUUGAGCGGAAUGAGACGUGGAGGUUCUGCAUCACCUCGUCUUCCUGUCUCCUUUGGGACCCCACAGGUGAGCUGCAUGCUUUGCCCCAGUGUUUACAUGGAGCCUGUGGGGCCUCUGCCUCCAUUGGGGCUAGCCAGGGAGGCUGCGUGGCUUUCCAGUACAUGUCUCGGUGCCAGCCAUUUCUCCUGCCACCACAGAGCCACCGCUGGUCCUGUUCACAAUCCUACCCUUUGUUGGGGGCCACAGACCUGGCCUGAGGGUUCUGCCUCUGGCUGCACUAUGUCUCCUUGGAGACCCUGUGGAGAAGGGCCUGUCAGGUGGCAGCACUGGUCUCACAAUCCCAAGUUUCUGUCUGUGGUGCUGGGGAUUGAAUUGGAAUCAUGCAUGCUAGAAAAGUAAAAGUGCUCUAAUCCUGAGCUUACCUCUAACUUCUCAACUUUUCUUUUUUUUUCUGUCAUACUGAGGAUUGAAUCCAGGUCCUUCACACUGAGCUACAUCACCAGCACCUUUUAAUUUUUUGUUCAGAGACAGGGUCUUGGUGAGUUGUUAAGUUACCCAGACAGGGCUCCAGCAUGCAAUCACCUGCCUUGACCACCCAGAGUGCUAGAAUUAGUCAUGUACCACCACACCUGUGUUCAACUUUCCAUUCCUUUUUUUUUUUUUGGACUGGGAGUCAAACUCAGAGCCUUGUGCUUGCCAGGCAGGCACUGUGCCACUGAGCUACAUCCCCAGCCAAGUUUCCAUUCUUUACAUCCAAGCCUUUAUCCUCCUCUGGAUACCAGGUGUAGGCAGGCAUGACUUGCAGAUUGUAUCUCCUGGGGGGUCUGAGCAUGUGUGUCACCCUGCACUAGAUGCUGGCUGGUCAAAGUGUGGUCACAAAGUGUCCCCAGGCCCCAGAUCUGCUGCCUGCAGGCAAGUCUCUGCAUUUUCUCAUCCCUGCCCUAGGAACUGAGCACUGGGGUGGGAUGUGGGUGUAGAGGAGUCACAGGAAGAAGAUGGAGACAAACUUGUGUGGAUGGCAUCUCCAGAAACAUGGUGUGCUGGGCUCUGGCUUGUCCUCUGCAAUGCUGUCCUGGGGUGGAAGGGCUGGGCAGGAUGGAGAGGGAGGGCAGACCUGCCCCAGGCCAGACCUCAACCCAGAAGUGCCCCCAGCCCACAGCCUUGUCCCCAGGCCCAGCCACCCCGUCUGACCACCCUGGGCCUGCUCUCCUUGACCCCAAGCAAGGCCCUACUGAACAUCUACCUGAGUGUCAAGUGUGUCCCUGGGUACCUCACAGUUCUCUGCCCCUGAGCAAAGGACUGAAACAAGACCAUUUUCGCCCUCUGCCUCACAAGCGGAAGGACUCGAGUUCGAUCACCGGUACCAAAAAAAACAACAACACAAAGAAACAAGACCAUUUUAUGGAAGGAAAAUGAAGGCACUGAGCAUCUCUGGGAAGCAAAUUCCCCCAGUACCACCUACCCAGGACUAGACCUCCAGCCACCAUGAAGACAGCAGUGCUCAAGUGGAUGGAUGGGGUGGCUGGUACCCCAUUAAGGCACCCAUGUGGACAGUGGUGGGGUGACCCACAGCCCCUGGAAUUAGUCUGGGAGUGGGAUGCCCCCACUGGGCACUGCUGUGGGUAUCCAGACAGCUGCUGUGGAUCUGGCUGCUCAGGGAGAAGGCAGCUUGUAGCAGGAAGCCCAAGACUUCCAGGCCCACUGGUGGUCAGGCCCAGCUCAGCCUUGAUAACAGGAUAGCAUGGCACCUGCCCAGGCAAAGCUUUUGUCAAACAGAACAACAAACACCUCAUAGUGUCCCUAAGGCACCUCCACCUCCACGUCUUCCCUCCCAGCUCCAGGCAGGGCAAGGGGCUUGGGGCUCUGCAGGAAGUGGUUUCUUGAUUUGAGUCUGAGGCUUCCGAUUUUGCCUCUGGGAUGAAGCUGCUCCAACAGGAUGACCAGGCUGGGUCUCUGUGGGUAGACACAGGGCUGUGCUCCCCUAGUUUCUUGUCGAGUCCCCUAAUGUGGGCAGAGUGGGCUGAGGAACAGCAAGUCCAGGCAGUGCUAGCAGGGAUGGGGAGCAGCUCUGAGUGACAGCAUCAGCUCAGGUUUCCUAGGGGCCUUUCGUGCCUCCUCCAGCACCCAAGAGAAAGGGACUCGAUCGCCCUGCUUGCAGACUGGGAAUCCAGCAGAGUAAGUAAAUCAAAUGCUGUGGUGCCAGUUACUGGGAGGCAGGUAUUUGGACCUCUGUGACAUCAGAAAUUUUUUUUUUAGAGAGGUCUGAGUCUUCAGCUCCAUCCAAUAAAUGCAGAGGGCCAUUAAUCCCAUUUAGAGUGGGCUCUACAAUGUCCUGAGAUGGCAGCUGCGAUCUGGAAUGGUGCCAGCAGCCCAGUAGCUCCUGAGCACUAGAGACAUUGCUGUCGAGCUGCAACUGCUACUGUAAUUUCAUUUUUCUUGUGCUGGGGAUUGAACCCAGGGCUUUGCACAUGCUAAAAUGUGUCCAACCACCGAGCUAUGCUUCAACUCCUGUACUUUUUAAUUUUUUUUGGUACCGGGAUUGAACUCAGGAACUUGUGCUUGCGAGGCAGGCACGUUGUCACUGAGCUAAAUCCCCAGCUGUACUUUUAAAAAUUUAAUUAACUGCAGCUGCUGUGUGGGACAGCUCAGGAGGAUAUUUCAGCACCGCGGACAGCUCCCCACACCGCUUCCGGGGAUGGUGCCCGGCUACUGCUGACUGACAUCGCUGCAGCUUCCCAGUUCUGCCUGUUCCUGAGCUUCCUCAGAGUGAAUUGUGUGCCCUGUAAUAGUCCGACGCCUAAGCUCCACACUGUCAGCCUUCAGGAUGUUUCUGUAGGGACAGUGUCUGACACCGGGUUGGUAAAACCAGUUAUUCUGAAUUCAGUUCCUGACUCCUAGGAGGGAAGGGGUGAUGUGGCUAUGAGCCCUUUGCCUCUUCCUAUGGGGGCCAGGGUCGGGGGGAAGACUCCUGGGGGCUGAUUCUCCCAACCCCACCUCUGUCCCAUCUUGCUCCUGGGCUGGGGACAGGAAGUGUGGUGGAUGUCAGGUCUAGGCCCAAACCUGCCUUUAUCACUCCCAGCUGGGAUCCUGGCUGGCCCAUCUGCCUUGGGGAGUCUCAGUUUGUAUUUCUAAAAUGCGUCUUUAUGGAGGGCUGUUUGUUCAUUCAUUAACGAAUGCUCCUUGGGCUGGCACCGCAUCAGGAAACUCACAGCCUAUGAUGAGUGAGAACCUGUAUCUUCCAUUGUGCUAAGCACAUAAAAUGGGUGCAGGCAGCACCUAUCUGGGCACCAGUGGCUGGGGAGGGCCUCUGAGAUGACAGCUGAGCUUCUGAGUGGCCAGCAGCAGACAUGAGGGUAGAAAGAGAGCUGUAGGUGAGUCCGAGAAAUGCAGAAAUCAGGUCUCAAAAGGCCUGGACGUCUGGGAAGGAAUUUGGAUGGUUCUGGGCCAGGGAUGUAACUUAGUGGUGCAGUCAGUGCCUUCAUGGCAAACUUGAGGCCCUGAGUUUGAUUCCUGGUACCAAAAAAAAAAAGGAUGGUUUUUCAAAUUAGGAAUUUGGAUGGUUUCAAACUCCCAUGCUGCCUGCUUUUGUGUGGCCUGUGAGUUAAAAGUGCUUUUAACAUUUUUUUUUUUUUGAAACAAGGUUUUGCAAUGGAGUACAGGCUGGCCUUACACUCACUAUGUAGGGCAGGCUGGCCUUGAGCUUGUGCUGACCCUUCUGCCUCAGCCUCCUGUGUGCUGGGAUGACAGGUGUGUGCCACCACACCUCGCUGAUUUUUACAUUUUUUAAGAGCUUGGAGAGGAAACAAAACUAGUUAUACAAAACUAAAAUUUCAUAAUCCAUCAAUAAAAUUUUGCAUUUUAUCAAAGAUGUGUGGAUGUGUUUUGUUAGAUAAAUGAUGUGAUAUCCUUUGUAUUAUCUAGCCCUGCAAAGCUGGAAACAUUUGUUAUCUGGUGAUUUGUUUAUUUACAGAUGGGGUCUCAUUGUGUUACUCAGACUGGCCUCAAACUCCAGGGCUCAAGUAACCCUCCUGCCUCAGUCUCCUGAGUAGCUGGGACAGCAGGUGCCCAGCUCUGGUGACUUACAGGGACAGUAUGCCAACUGUGCCCUGACAGCUGGGCAGUGACAGAUGCUUAAAGCUAAAUCGUUAUAGGUGAACAGUGGCUGCCACGAUGGACAGUGUUCCGGAAGAUGUCCAUGUUGGUUCUCCUCACAAGAAAGCGCACAGGAG
rnacentral:lncRNA from 1 species